rnacentral:rRNA from 1 species
UACGUAGGUGGCAAGCGUUGUCCGGAAUUAUUGGGCGUAAAGCGCGCGCAGGUGGUUUAAUAAGUCUGAUGUGAAAGCCCACGGCUCAACCGUGGAAUGGCAUUGGAAACUGGGUCACUUGAGUGCAGAAGAGGAAAGCGGAAUUCCAUGUGUAGCGGUGAAAUGCGUAGAUAUAUGGAGGAACACCAGUGGCGAAGGCGGCUUUCUGGUCUGUAACUGACGCUGAGGCUCGAAAGCGUGGGUAGCAAACAGG